rnacentral:rRNA from 1 species
GGGUGAGUAACACGUAGGUGACCUGCCCCAAAGUCGGGGACAACUAGGAGAAAUCUUAGCUAAUCCCCGAUGUGGACCCACCCCCUGGGGUGUGUCUAAAGCUUCGGCGCUUUGGGAUGGGCCUGCGUUGGAUCAGGUAGUUGGUAGGGUAAUGGCCUACCAAGCCGACGACCCAUAGCUGGUCUGAGAGGACGACCAGCCACAGGGGUACUGAGACACGGACCCCACUCCUACGGGAGGCAGCAGUUAGGAAUCUUCCGCAAUGGGCGAAAGCCUGACGGAGCGAUACCGCUUGAAGGACGAAGCCCCUCGGGGUGUAAACUUCUGAACUCGGGACGAUCAUGACGGUACCGAGGUAAUAGCACCGGCUAACUCCGUGCCAGCAGCCGCGGUAAUACGGAGGGUGCGAGCGUUACCCGGAUUUACUGGGUGUAAAGGGCGUGUAGGCGGUCUCUCAAGUCCGAUGCUAAAGACCAAGGCUCAACCUCGGGAAUGCGUUGGAUACUGUGAGGCUAGACGGUCGGAGAGGGUAGCGGAAUUUCCGGAGUAGCGGUGAAAUGCGCAGAUACCGGAAGGAACGCCAAUAGCGAAAGCAGCUACCUGGACGAUUUGUGACGCUGAGGCGCGAAAGCGUGGGGAGCAAACCGGAUUAGAUACCCGGGUAGUCCACGCCCUAAACGUUGAGUGCUGGGUGUCCGACAUCCGUUGGGUGCCGUAGCUAACGCGUUAA